rnacentral:miRNA from 1 species
UGAGUAGAUGAGCCUAGGCCACUAUUGUCUAUCACCCAGUGACAAUCUUCUAAGGGGUCCCCUCUAGGAAGAUUGUCACUGGGUGAUAGACAAUAGUGGCCUAGACUCAUCUA